AGCGAACGCUGGCGGCAGGCUUAACACAUGCAAGUCGAGCGGGCACUUUCGGGUGUCAGCGGCGGACGGGUGAGUAACGCGUGGGAACGUGCCCUCUGGUUCGGAAUAGCUCAGGGAAACUUGAGCUAAUACCGGAUACGCCCUUUUGGGGAAAGGCUUGCUGCCGGAGGAUCGGCCCGCGUCUGAUUAGCUAGUUGGUGAGGUAACGGCUCACCAAGGCGACGAUCAGUAGCUGGUCUGAGAGGAUGAUCAGCCACACUGGGACUGAGACACGGCCCAGACUCCUACGGGAGGCAGCAGUGGGGAAUAUUGGACAAUGGGCGCAAGCCUGAUCCAGCCAUGCCGCGUGAGUGAUGAAGGCCUUAGGGUUGUAAAGCUCUUUUAUCCGGGACGAUAAUGACGGUACCGGAGGAAUAAGCCCCGGCUAACUUCGUG
rnacentral:rRNA from 1 species